AGCUCCAAUAGCGUAUAUUAAAGCUGUUGCGGUUAAAAAGCUCGUAGUUGGAUUUCUGCCAAGCACAACUAGUCCGCCCUCUGGGUGAGUACAUAGUCUGGUCUUGGCAUCUUGCUGAAAACUGUGCUGUACUUGGCUGUAUGGCACAGUGCUCAGCACUUUCACUUUGAGGAAAUUGGAGUGUUUCAAGCAGGCAAAUGCCUUUGGACACAGUAGCAUGGAAUAAUUAGAUUGGGCUUUUGCUCCAUCUUGUCGGUUUAUGGAGCUAAGGUGAGAAUCAAUGGGGAUUGUUGGGGGCAUCCGAAUUUAGUUGUCAGAGGUGAAAUUCUUGGAUCUGCUAAAGACGGACGACUGCGAAAGCGUUUGCCCAGGAUGUUUUCAUUGAUCAAGAACGAAAGUA
rnacentral:rRNA from 1 species